rnacentral:rRNA from 1 species
GACGAACCGUGCGAACGUUGUUCGGAAUUACUGGGCGUAAAGCGUGCGCAGGCGGCUUUGCAAGACAGAUGUGAAAUCCCCGGGCUUAACCUGGGAACUGCAUUUGUGACUGCAUGGCUGGAGUGCGGCAGAGGGGGAUGGAAUUCCGCGUGUAGCAGUGAAAUGCGUAGAUAUGCGGAGGAACACCGAUGGCGAAGGCAAUCCCCUGGGCCUGCACUGACGCUCAUGCACGAAAGCGUGGGGAGCAAACAGG